UGGCUCAGAACGAACGCUGGCGGCAGGCUUAACACAUGCAAGUCGAACGCCCCGCAAGGGGAGUGGCAGACGGGUGAGUAACGCGUGGGAACAUACCCUUUCCUGCGGAAUAGCUCUGGGAAACUGGAAUUAAUACCGCAUACGCCCUACGGGGGAAAGAUUUAUCGGGGAAGGAUUGGCCCGCGUUGGAUUAGCUAGUUGGUGGGGUAAAGGCCUACCAAGGCGACGAUCCAUAGCUGGUCUGAGAGGAUGAUCAGCCACAUUGGGACUGAGACACGGCCCAAACUCCUACGGGAGGCAGCAGUGGGGAAUAUUGGACAAUGGGCGCAAGCCUGAUCCAGCCAUGCCGCGUGAGUGAUGAAGGCCUUAGGGU
rnacentral:rRNA from 1 species